CCCGAGUGCUUGCACUCAAUUGGAAAGAGGAGUGGCGGACGGGUGAGUAACACGUGGGUAACCUACCCAUCAGAGGGGGAUAACACUUGGAAACAGGUGCUAAUACCGCAUAACAGUUUAUGCCGCAUGGCAUAAGAGUGAAAGGCGCUUUCGGGUGUCGCUGAUGGAUGGACCCGCGGUGCAUUAGCUAGUUGGUGAGGUAACGGCUCACCAAGGCCACGAUGCAUAGCCGACCUGAGAGGGUGAUCGGCCACACUGGGACUGAGACACGGCCCAGACUCCUACGGGAGGCAGCAGUAGGGAAUCUUCGGCAAUGGACGAAAGUCUGACCGAGCAAAGCCGCGUGAGUGAAGAAGGUUUUCGGAUCGUAAAACUCUGUUGUUAGAGAAGAACAAGGACGUUAGUAACUGAACGUCCCCUGACGGUAUCUAACCAGAAAGCCACGGCUAACUACGUGCCAGCAGCCGCGGUAAUACGUAGGUGGCAAGCGUUGUCCGGAUUUAUUGGGCGUAAAGCGAGCGCAGGCGGUUUCUUAAGUCUGAUGUGAAAGCCCCCGGCUCAACCGGGGAGGGUCAUUGGAAACUGGGAGACUUGAGUGCAGAAGAGGAGAGUGGAAUUCCAUGUGUAGCGGUGAAAUGCGUAGAUAUAUGGAGGAACACCAGUGGCGAAGGCGGCUCUCUGGUCUGU
rnacentral:rRNA from 1 species